AUUGAACGCUGGCGGCAGGCCUAACACAUGCAAGUCGAACGAGUGGCGGACGGGUGAGUAAUGUCUGGGAAACUGCCCGAUGGAGGGGGAUAACUACUGGAAACGGUAGCUAAUACCGCAUACCAUCGGAUGUGCCCAGAUGGGAUUAGCUUGUAGGUGAGGUAACGGCUCGCCUAGGCGACGAUCCCUCGGUGGUCUGAGAGGAUGACCAGCAAAGCGGGAACUGAGACACGGUCGAGACGCCUACGGGAGGCAGCAGUGGGGAAUAGUGCACAAGGGGCGAAAGCCGGAUGCAACCAUGUCGGGUGGAUGAAAAAGUCCUUCGGGUUGUAUAGUACUUUCGGCGGGGAGGCAUGACCCGCAGAGGAAGCACCGUCUAACUCCGUGCCAGCAGCCGCUGUAAUAC
rnacentral:rRNA from 1 species